UCCUCUCCCCCCGGUGCGUAUCUUCCUCGCCACAGCCACCUCCCGUGAUGCCCCCAGCCCCAAACCGGCGGCGAUGCUGCCCCACCUUCCUACCGACCUCGGCCAACUCUCCUCCCUUCCUCCGACCACCACCGGAAUUCUACCUCCCCUGGCGCGCCGAUCCGCCUCCACCCUCAACGCUGUAGCACCGCCAUGGGUUGGAUCCGGCAAGAUCUGACACGCCGGAGCCCUCCUCCCAACGCCUUCUUCUCCGACGACGCGCCACAUGCCCCAGACUGGCGCCGACGCAGCCCCAGGCCUAGCUUCUCCCUAUCAGCACCGUCCUGGUCCCCGCCGCGUCGGCCUCUCGCCGGUUUAGUGCAUCUCGCGGCCGGCCCUCGAGGAUUCUGACCGGCUAUGGGGUCCCUGCUCGCGCACCCCUCGGGACCCUUUGCAGUCCUGAACUCCCUGGCCACGCAAUCCUCACGCAGCCUUCCCAGGGAUGUGGAUUGGAUUGAGGGGGUGUCCACAAUCUUUGGGGUCUGAUGCGGGAGGGCAUGGACUGUCGAUCUGCUCCACAACUCAGCGGGUGGCAGUGCAAGAAGCAGCAGAUGGGAUUUGAUGAUGUCCAGGGCAUGGAUGAGGCCAAGCAGGAGCUUGUUGAGGAGCACGAGGUUCUUCAAGUCAGAGUGCAUUGCAGCUAGUGAUGAGAAGGAUUUGCUUGACAUUUGGACGUGACUUUGCUAGUGUUAGGGACCAGGGCACAACCCUUAGCUGUCCAAAGAGAGAGGUGGCGCAGGGGAGGUGGUACAGGAAGGGGGAUUGGAAACUGACCUUCAAGUGCUGAUGGAGUGGGUUGAUGGAUCCUCAAACCUCCCGAGUGGCUGGCUAUUAGCUUUCCUGUUGCAGAAAAAAGGGAGUUGCUUGAAAGUUAUAUACAAAUUGCCUUAAUUACAUGAAGACUUUCUUUUGAUUUCCCCUUCUCCUUUUCUGAUUAGCUGGCUGCAUAAAUAGGUUUUCAACUCAUAAAAUUUGCCUACACUGCAAGUACAAAUUGCCCAAGCAGUAAACAAAACAAAAGAAAACUAUCCCUACUGUUGAUUUUGUUUUCAAAAACAAAAGUUGCAUGCAAGCAUUAUGAAAUUGCCUAACUUGUGUGCUCAACCCGACUUUUUUUUCAAAUAGACUUAGAAUGCUUGGGCUAGAUAUGUAAAUCGUGAUAGGCGAUCUAUUGCAAAGUUGCUUAUUGUAGCAUCAAAGUUGCCCCAUAUAGCAUCAAAGUUGCUUGAAAAAAAUGUUCAUCAAAACAUACCCAUAUGGGAUCUUAUUUUGAAGAGGUCGUGAGAAUCCUAUUGGUGAAAACGGAACUUAAUUUCGACGCUCAGUUUAAAAGCUAUAGCCUUUUGAAUUUUUUAAAAGGGAAUUAAAUGCAUUUGAUGCAUUUGCUAACUUGUGUGCUCAAUCCGAUUUGCAGGAAGGAGUCGUAGUAUGAUGGAACCACGUGUGAGACAGAAAUCUUCUCUAUUAAGGGCCACAUGGGACAAGGGCAUCCUUUCCUUUUUAAGACAGCACGGACAUAGACUUACUUUAUUUGGGUGUGUGCUCCAAACGACUAGUCAGCCAACGGGUGUUGGCUAGGCAUGUCCUAUCGCAAUAAGCACGGAUCAGGCGGAUACAUGUGACUUCGAUCCAUUUCCCUUUACUUUGAAUUUCAGUUCAUUUGUUUGUAUAC